rnacentral:rRNA from 1 species
AGAGUUUGAUCCUGGCUCAGGAUGAACGCUAGCUACAGGCUUAACACAUGCAAGUCGCGGGGCAGCAUAGGGAUUGCUUGCAAUUUCUGAUGGCGACCGGCGCACGGGUGAGUAACGCGUAUCCAACCUUCCCAUUACCACGGCACAGCCCAUCGAAAGGUGGAUUAAUACCGUAUGUUGUCAGAAGCGGACAUCUAAUUUUGACGAAAGGUUUAGCGGUAAUGGAUGGGGAUGCGUCUGAUUAGAUAGUUGGCGGGGUAACGGCCCACCAAGUCGACGAUCAGUAGGGGUUCUGAGAGGAAGGUCCCCCACAUUGGAACUGAGACACGGUCCAAACUCCUACGGGAGGCAGCAGUGAGGAAUAUUGGUCAAUGGGCGCAAGCCUGAACCAGCCAAGUAGCGUGCAGGAAGACGGCCCUAUGGGUUGUAAACUGCUUUUAUACGAGGAUAAAGUGUGGGACGUGUCCCAUUUUGUAGGUAUCGUAUGAAUAAGGACCGGCUAAUUCCGUGCCAGCAGCCGCGGUAAUACGGAAGGUCCGGGCGUUAUCCGGAUUUAUUGGGUUUAAAGGGAGCGCAGGCUGGUCAUUAAGCGUGCUGUGAAAUGCUGAGGCUCAACCUUAGGAUUGCAGCGCGAACUGGUAGCCUUGAGUGCGUUGGAAGUAGGCGGAAUUUGUGGUGUAGCGGUGAAAUGCUUAGAUAUCACGAAGAACUCCGAUUGCGAAGGCAGCUUACUGUGACGUCACUGACGCUGAGGCUCGAAAGUGCGGGUAUCGAACAGGAUUAGAUACCCUGGUAGUCCGCACGGUAAACGAUGGAUGCUCGUUGUUCGUACUUUGUGUAUGAGCGACUAAGCGAAAGCAUUAAGCAUCCCACCUGGGGAGUACGCCGGCAACGGUGAAACUCAAAGGAAUUGACGGGGGCCCGCACAAGCGGAGGAACAUGUGGUUUAAUUCGAUGAUACGCGAGGAACCUUACCCGGGCUUGAAAUGUGACAGACGGCAGGCAGAGACGCCUGCUUCCUUCGGGCUGUCAUGUAGGUGCUGCAUGGUUGUCGUCAGCUCGUGCCGUGAGGUGUUGGCUUAAGUGCCAUAACGAGCGCAACCCUUUCCGCCGGUUACCAUCAGGUUAUGCUGGGGACUCCGGCGGCACUGCCGCCGCAAGGCGUGAGGAAGGUGGGGAUGACGUCAAAUCAGAACGGCCCUUACGUCCGGGGCCACACACGUGUUACAAUGGGGGGCACAGCGAGUUGGCGGCCGGUGACGGCCGUCGGAUCAACAAAUCCCCUCCCAGUUCGGAUCGGAGCCUGCAACCCGGCUCCGUGAAGCUGGAUUCGCUAGUAAUCGCGCAUCAGCCAUGGCGCGGUGAAUACGUUCCCGGGCCUUGCACACACCGCCCGUCAAG